GCGACGGCUAAAUACGUGCCAGCAGCCGCGGUAAUACGUAUGUCGCAAGCGUUAUCCGGAUUUAUUGGGCGUAAAGCGCGUCUAGGCGGUCUGGUAAGUCUGAUGUGGAAAUGCGGGGCUCAACUCCGUAUUGCGUUGGAAACUGCCAGACUAGAGUAUUGGAGAGGUGGGCGGAACUACAAGUGUAGAGGUGAAAUUCGUAGAUAUUUGUAGGAAUGCCGAUAGAGAAGUCAGCUCACUGGACAGAUACUGACGCUGAAGCGCGAAAGCAUGGGGAGCAAACAGGAUUAGAUACCCUGGUAGUCCAUGCCGUAAACGAUGAUUACUAAGCGUCGGGGGUCGAACCUCGGCACUCAAGCUAACGCGAUAAGUAAUCCGCCUGGGGAGUACGUACGCA
rnacentral:rRNA from 1 species